AUGGCCCCAGGUGGUGCUGGGGCUCCCACCGCUAUCUGGGCUCUCCUGGGAGCCCAAGGAUCCCAGCGAGGGCGAUCACCCCACAUCCCCACGGGCACCUCCCUCGCUGGACAGAGGUGCCCCCUGGACAGCGGCCUCAGUUUCCCCUUGGGCGAUAAGCGCAAAUGGAGGACGCUGGGCCAGGCCAGGCCGCGCCAAGGAAGAGGGCCCCGGCCCCUCCUCCCGGCCCCCAGCCUGGCGCAGGCGCGAGGGGCGUCGGGCGGGCUGGUACCCGGCGGCGCCUCAGGGAGCUGGGGCGGCCGAGCUGUUCCAUCCUCCCGACCGCGGGACGGCUCCUCCGCGCCCGCCGAGCCCGGGGAUGCUGGCGGGGCCGGGCGGACCGCUGGGAAGAGCGGGGCCCAGAGCGGCGUGCCAGGCUCGCCGAGGCCCGGGCUGGGCGCACAGCGGGCCGUGGCCGCCCGCCGCGGGGGUGGGAGUCCGCCUGCCCGGAGCUGCCCCGGCCCCCGUCCCGGCGUCGGCGUCCGCAGCCGCCCCCCAGCCCGGUGCCGGCCGCUGUCGCACGUCCGCCUCGGGCUUAGCUGGAGCUCAACGUGCAGCGCUCGGCCCCGCCUCGAGGCCCGGAGCCCCCUGCUCCUCGCAGGUUACCCGGGAGCCCAGGGAGCUCCGGGCCGCGCCGCUCCGUCCCCGCGGAGCGCCUCUGCCUCCCCGCUCCCUGGCGGCGGUUGCUGCCUCGCUCUGCUCGCACGCACUUCAGCAGGCCUGGCCGCCGGUGGUUAUUUAUACCCACGCUGUCUCCCAGCCGGCGGCCCGGAGCCCUGCGCGCACACCGGUGCAGCAGAUGCCGGCGGGCCCACUGCGUCUGGGGAAGCCCCUUGCCCAGCCCACAUGGGACCAGCACAGGCCUGGAGGCAGCACCAAGGCCCCGGUAGCCCUUCUGUCCCCCAGUGCACCCCCGUCUGGACUUGGAGUCGGCCUGGAAUCCAGGGCAGAGUGGAUGUCCCCUACCAGAAUCGGAGACACCUGCAGCCUCGGAGCUGGGGGAUACUGAACAUUCCCAGCUCCUGCUGA
rnacentral:lncRNA from 1 species